rnacentral:rRNA from 1 species
AGAGUUUGAUCCUGGCUCAGGACGAACGCUGGCGGCGUGCCUAACACAUGCAAGUCGUACGGCCCGCCCGCUCUGGACCUUCGGGUCCAGAGCGGAUCACGGGCAGUGGCGGACGGGUGAGUAACGUGUGGGUAAUCUGCCUCGAGGAGAGGAAUAACCUGACGAAAGUUGGGCUAAUAUCUCAUACUGUCACUGAAGGGCAUCCUUCUGGUGAUGAAAGGUGGGCUUAGCACCACCACCUCGAGAGGGGCCCGCAUCGGAUUAGCCAGCUGGUGAGAUAACAGCUCACCAGGGCAACAAUCCGUAGCUGGUCUGAGAGGACGAUCAGCCACACUGGGACUGAGACACGGCCCAGACUCCUACGGGAGGCAGCAGUGGGGAAUCUUCUGCAAUGGGGGAAACCCUGACAGAGCGACGCCGCGUGAGUGAAGAAGGCCUUCGGGUUGUAAAGCUCUGUCACCGGGGAAGAAACACCAAUAGCCAAAUACUAUUGGUCUGACGGUACCUGGUGAGGAAGCCCUGGCUAACUACGUGCCAGCAGCCGCGGUAACACGUAGAGGGCAAGCGUUGUCCGGAAUUACUGGGCGUAAAGGACGCGCAGGCGGCAGGAUAAGUUGUCUGUGAAAACCUGGGGCUUAACCCCAGGCGUGCAGGCAAAACUAUCUUGCUUGAGGGCAGCAGAGGAGAGCGGAAUUCCUGGAGUAGUGGUGAAAUACGUAGAUAUCAGGAGGAACACCAGUGGCGAAGGCGGCUCUCUGGGCUGCCCCUGACGCUGAGGCGUGAAAGCCGAGGGAGCGAACGGGAUUAGAUACCCCGGUAGUCUCGGCUGUAAACACUGGACACUAGGUGUUGGGGGUUGAACUCCCUCAGUGCCGCAGUUAACGCAUUAAGUGUCCCGCCUGGGGAUUACGGUCGCAAGACUGAAACUCAAAGGAAUUGACGGGGGCCCGCACAAGCGGUGGAGCAUGUGGUUUAAUUCGAU